GACAGAGGAUGAGAUGGCUGGAUGGCAUCACCGACUCGAUGCACAAGAGUCGGACACGACUGAGCGACUGAACUGAACUGAACUGAACUGGCUUUAUAAAAUAUUCUUGUAGCAAUAACUUCAAAUGACAUCUGAAAAAUCCUAUUAGCCCCAUUUUGCCAGUGAGGAAAUGGAGGCUUAAACAUGUUGUGAAUGUUAAACAAGUUCAGUCUUUGGUAGGCAUGAAGCUAAGACUCCAGCUAAAAAAUCUUGAUCAGAAAUCCAGUACUUUUCAUCUGGACUCAAACUUCAUGGCAAAUUUUACUCCCUGCUCCUUUAUUCCUAAACACAUGGUCCUCAGGGUACCUGAUCCAAAUGGCUUACUCUGAUGACUGGCAGGCCAAGAUAGUAAACACAGGAGGCCUAGAACCUCUUCAGAUUAUCUAGUUAUCAAAUUGACCCUGAUAGGAGCGUCCCCAUCAUGGCCCGCUCGGGGUCUCUGUCAGGCCCCAUCCCAGGCACUCUCAGUGGGGUUUCUUCUUAUCCUCUCCCUUUCGGGGAAGGCCUCUCUGGGAUAAGCUUACAGUCUGUUUUCAGGUGCCCGUCCUCUCCUUUGUGAUGCAGUCUGUGUUUCCAAGUCUCUGCCGCUUUGGGUGUUUCUCUGAGAAUUCUCUCUAUUGUACCUUGAGCCAGGUGGAGUCUGAGGUGAGCAGCUGAGAGGACAGCAUACCCUUGUUCUGCUGUUCCUCCCUGUCUGAAGGAGAGAGGAAAGUGGGGAGGAGAGAGAGGAACUGCCUGACCCAUCUGUGCUACAGGACUCAUGCCCUUGGCCUUUCUCCCCAGCCAGCCGACUUAUCAGUAUGGUGGAGAGCUUAUCUUGGGAGGCGUGGACACUCAGCUCUAUUCCGGUGAUCUCGUCAGGACCCCUGUCACCUGGGAGCUGUACUGGCAGAUUGUCAUCCAGGAGGAUAUGCUAUGAAGUACUGGAGAGACAACGGCAUCCCUUCGGAGAAACUCAUGGAGUUCGCCACCUAUGGGAGGACCUUCCAGCUCAGCACUUCUGACACCUCAGUCUGUGCCCCAGUCUCUGGAACAGGGUCAUCUGGUACUUACACACAUAAGGCUGGCUUCUGGGCUUACUAUGAGGUAACCACUAUGGCUAAUUCAGGCUAAAAUGCCCUGGGGAAAAUUCAACCCUCCAAGUCAUCUUGCUAUUCUUAUAUUCUUGAGAUU
rnacentral:lncRNA from 1 species